GAUGAACGCUGACAGAAUGCUUAACACAUGCAAGUCGACUCGAGUCUUCGGACUUGGGUGGCGCACGGGUGAGUAACGCGUAAAGAACUUGCCUCUUAGACCGGGACAACAUCUGGAAACGGAUGCUAAUACCGGAUAUUAUGGUUUUUUCGCAUGGAGGAAUCAUGAAAGCUAGAUGCGCUAAGAGAGAGCUUUGCGUCCCAUUAGCUGGUUGGUGAGGUAACGGCCCACCAAGGCAAUGAUGGGUAGCCGGCCUGAGAGGGUGAACGGCCACAAGGGGACUGAGACACGGCCCUUACUCCUACGGGAGGCAGCAGUGGGGAAUAUUGGACAAUGGACCGCAAGUCUGAUCCAGCAAUUCUGUGUGCACGAUGACGUUUUUCGGAAUGUAAAGUGCUUUCAGUCGGGAAGAAGUCAGUGACGGUACCGACAGAAGAAGCGACGGCUAAAUACGUGCCAGCAGCCGCGGUAAUACGUAUGUCGCAAGCGUUAUCCGGAUUUAUUGGGCGUAAAGCGCGUCUAGGCGGCAAGGAAAGUCUGAUGUGAAAAUGCGGAGCUCAACUCCGUAUGGCGUUGGAAACUGCCUUACUAGAGUACUGGAGAGGUAGGCGGAACUACAAGUGUAGAGGUGAAAUUCGUAUAUAUUUGUAGGAAUGCCGAUGGGGAAGCCAGCCUACUGGACAGAUACUUGACGCUAAAGCGCGAAAGCGUGGGGUAGCAAAACAAGAUAGAUACUGUAGUAGUCCAAGGGGCGAUUCCACAGGGGAUAUCAAGCUUAUCGAUGCGUCGACCUCAGGGGGGGGCACAGGACUCAUCUGUUGUUCCUUUUGUGGGGUUAUUUAUAUUCUGCUGUGUUCCCUCCCUAAUAUUCCAACUAUAUGUCUUACUUUUUUUUUUUGCUCUAUGUAUGCUGUAUACUGUUUUAUAUGAUGCUUCUGUCUGCAUGUGUAUUCCUAUGUGUGGAAUGUAUUGUCACAUCCUUCUAAUCCUACCUCAUCCUGUUGUGCAAUGCCGUCUGCUACUGCCUGAUGUCUUUCUGACUCUUGCCAGUGCUAUGAGCUUGCGUCUCUGUGGCUACCUGCCUGCUUCCCUCUACCCUGCGUGUGUGCUG
rnacentral:rRNA from 1 species